CCUGCUAACAUCACCCUCCUUUGGACAAUUUACUGUCCAACCAUCCAGAGUCUACGCACUCAGUGUAUGUCUCGUGGUGGGGUACGCACUCACACUUGACAUUUGAGCAAGACAUUUAGGAACGAAGGGAAGUACAGAGCGUUUUCUUGGGAGAGACUGGGAUUGUUUUGGGAGUAUAUGUUUUUUUCAUGUUUUCUCUGACAGCAUGGAGUACUGCACUUUGAAAGGAUUCCUGGUGGUUUUGCUGAUACAACACUGCAAGUCUGAAGAUCUGUCUACCUCCAUCCAAUCCUCCACUGCGGUCGCCCACCAAGAUGGCCAGAGCUUACCCCAGGAUCCAGAGUUGCCCCCCGCAGAAGUGGUACCAGUAGCGUCCCCUCCUAGCCUGAAGGAGGUGCAGCAGGCCGUGCAGGAGGCAUCAGAGCAGGUGGAGGGUCGUGGGGCUGAGGAAGUGCUGAAGGAGCUGCUGGAGAGAGUGGUGGAGGCAGCUCUGGGACAGGCGGAAGCAGGGAACGACGCAAAAGCGGAUGUAGUGCAGGAAGCGGUUGAGGAGGAUUCACUGGGGACAAAAUCAAAAGAGAGUGAAGCUGAGGUAGAAGUGCUAGAGGAGGCAGUGGAGGAUGAAGAUAUGGGGGACAAGGAGGAAGAUACCGGUGUUGAAGAGAAGCAGGAGGUAGCAGAGGUGGAUGCACUUGAAGAUGUGGCCGAGGAGGGGAAAGGAGUUGUCGAGGCAGAGGGUGAAACAGCAGCUGGAUCUGUGGAGAAGACCACAGCCGCUGUAGAAACUGAAGUCAGACAGACAGAGGGUGUGGAGGUUAUCGAUGAGUCGCUGGGAAGUGAGGAGGAGGUUGUGGAAGGAGCUGUGGCUGCUUUAGAAGAGAAAGGAGGGGAUUUGGCCAUAGAGGAGGCAGGGGAGGAGGACAGCGAGGAUCAGGUCGUGUUGUCUGAAGAAAAAGGAGCAGCUGAAACAGAAAUACAGGAAGCAGAGGAAGCCCCAGCUGCUGUAGAGGAAGAAGCAGAAGGUACAGAUGUAGGGGAAGUAACAGGAGAUGAAAUAGAAGGAGAGAGUGUAAUCAAGGAGGAAUCGGUGGUAUUGGUGAAUGAGGAAAGCGUUCAAAAAGCAGGGGAGGAGGAGCAGAUUGCUUUGGAGACUUCAAACGGUGGUGAAAAGGAGGAUGAAGAAGUGGUCUCAGAGCCUGCGGAUGGUGAAGAAGCCUCAAUGGAGCAGAGCCCUGAGAACCAGGCUCCCACCUCAAACCCAUCCCUCAGUGAGGUGGAAACUGGAGAAAACACUCCUGAUGAGGAGAAGUCAGACCACGGCAACGAGAUCAUCACCACCACCGAUGACCUUUUGCCACAGGAGUCCUCUGUGGCUCAACCUACACUAGAUAAUUUCAUGAAUGGUGUUCUAGGUGAACAACCCGAGGCACAAGGAGAGGAACUAGGAGAGGCCAAUGAGCUGGUAGAAGAUACAGCUGGAACUACAGAGACAAAUGAGCUAGGCCUGGAGGCAUGGAAGAUAGGGGCUAUUUCCGCUGCAGUGUUCUUGGUUUUGGAGACUGUUGUCAUCAUUAUCUAUAUCCUCAAAUGUCGCAACAAAAACAGUACCCCGGCCCUACAGCGGGCAUGCGAAGAAGGGUGUGUUGAACCAGAGGCAGCUACAGGAGGUGACUGCAGUGACGACACACUGCCUGCAGGCAAUGGAGACACUCAACAGAUAGCCACGCUUGACCCGUCUGAUGUGGCUUCGACCCUGGCCACAACAAAGGAGAAGCAAGGAGACGAGCAUGCGAUAGCCAUGUCAGGCCUCCCGCCCGGCUCCACAGAGGAGUCAGCCAACACUGGACCAGGACCAGACUCUUCACAAGACCUCAGGACUUCCAUCCUCUAGGGGGUCCAAAUGUUUGUCUGUUCCUGCUGCGUCUAAAUGGAACCCAAAAAGGCCACUUUCCAAGCCUGCACCCAAUCCCAAAUCACCUAGUUACCCUAAAUUCUCAAACCCAACACAGACUGCCUUGGAGUCAAACUGUAAUAACUAGUGCACAUGUAUCGCAUUUAUAUUUGGUGUAUAUGUCUGUUUAUUUGUCUGUCUGUCUGUCUGUCUGUGUGUGCAUGUAACGUGAGCGAAAGAGAUACUGUAACACAUUUUGCAUGUAUGAAUAUGUGGAUGAGUGAACAGGAAGAGCAUGUUUUAAAAUACUCUGUGCAAGUGUGAGUGUGGAAAUGUGAUAAAACUGUUCUGUAUUUAGUUUGAUGUCUGUAAACUCUUUAGGCUGAAAUGGAAUUUUUUCACACUGACCACUUCAGUCAUGCUGUUCAAAGUUGUUGAAAAGAACACAGCAGGAGCAGCGACAAUAAGCAAUUUUCCUGUUUUAAUGGCAAUUCAGUACAGUGUGUUCACAAAGUGCUGGCAGUACCACAGAGUGCUAUAUCUGAGCAGUCUCAUUAAACUGUACAACACUGGCCUACGAGGAAAAGAAAGAAAAAAAACAAGAUUUUUCAUUACUGAGAUGGAUUUUAAAAUUUUAUUUGAUUUUUAUUCUACAUAACUCUUGACCUUUGUAUCAUCAUUUGUGAUUUGAGCAAUACAAAAUAAAGAGAU
ensembl:lncRNA